rnacentral:rRNA from 1 species
GACGAACGCUGGCGGCGUGCUUAACACAUGCAAGUCGAACGGAAAGGCCCUGCUUUUGUGGGGUGCUCGAGUGGCGAACGGGUGAGUAGCACGUGAGUAACCUGCCCUUGACUUUGGGAUAACUUCAGGAAACUGGGGCUAAUACCGGAUAGGAGCUCCUGCUGCAUGGUGGGGGUUGGAAAGUUUCGGCGGUUGGGGAUGGACUCGCGGCUUAUCAGCUUGUUGGUGGGGUAGUGGCUUACCAAGGCUUUGACGGGUAGCCGGCCUGAGAGGGUGACCGGCCACAUUGGGACUGAGAUACGGCCCAGGCUCCUACGGGAGGCAGCAGUGGGGAAUAUUGCACAAUGGGCGGAAGCCUGAUGCAGCAACGCCGCGUGCGGGAUGACGGCCUUCGGGUUGUAAACCGCUUUCGCCUGUGACGAAGCGUGAGUGACGGUAAUGGGUAAAGAAGCACCGGCUAACUACGUGCCAGCAGCCGCGGUGAUACGUAGGGUGCGAGCGUUGUCCGGAUUUAUUGGGCGUAAAGGGCUCGUAGGUGGUUGAUCGCGUCGGAAGUGUAAUCUUGGGGCUUAACCCUGAGCGUGCUUUCGAUACGGGUUGACUUGAGGAAGGUAGGGGAGGAUGGAAUUCCUGGUGGAGCGGUGGAAUGCGCAGAUAUCAGGAGGAACACCAGUGGCGAAGGCGGUUCUCUGGGCCUUUCCUGACGCUGAGGAGCGAAAGCGUGGGGAGCGAACAGGCUUAGAUACCCUGGUAGUCCACGCUGUAAACGGUGGGUACUAGGUGUGGGGUCCAUUCCACGGGUUCCGUGCCGUAGCUAACGCUUUAAGUACCCCGCCUGGGGAGUACGGCCGCAAGGCUAAAACUCAAAGGAAUUGACGGGGCCCCGCACAAGCGGCGGAGCAUGCGGAUUAAUUCGAUGCAACGCGUAGAACCUUACCUGGGUUUGACGUGGAUCGGGAGUGCUCAGAGAUGGGUGUGCCUCUUUUGGGGUCGGUUCACAGGUGGUGCAUGGCUGUCGUCAGCUCGUGUCGUGAGAUGUUGGGUUAAGUCCCGCAACGGGCGCAACCCUUGUUCACUGUUGCCAGCACGUUAUGGUGGGGACUCAGUGGAGACCGCCGGGGUCAACUCGGAGGAAGGUGGGGAUGACGUCAAGUCAUCAUGCCCCUUAUGUCCAGGGCUUCACGCAUGCUACAAUGGCUGGUACAGAGAGUGGCGAGCCUGUGAGGGUGAGCGAAUCUCGGAAAGCCGGUCUCAGUUCGGAUUGGGGUCUGCAACUCGACCUCAUGAAGUCGGAGUCGCUAGUAAUCGCAGAUCAGCAACGCUGCGGUGAAUACGUUCCCGGG